CUAAUUAUUUCAUCCGUCCAUCA
rnacentral:siRNA from 1 species